UUCAACCGCGAUGUCCCGGCCGGCUGCUUCCGAUGCCGCGGGAAAGGUUCCGGGCAAAGUCCGAGGGACGUAGGAAAGCGGGAAGGGUCUGCCCUCAGUGCUCGGGCGUGGAGCGGAGCUAUCACUCCUCAGCGCGCGUACUCAUCAGUAUGUAGGCUUCUUGCUCUCUAUGUUUCAGGCUGGUGAAAAUUACUUCAUAUUUAUAAGGCUAUGCCUUUGGUCCCACGGAAAUGUACGAUAGCAUUUGUUAGGCCUCUAUCUAAGGCUUUACUGUGUACCCAGCAUUAAGCAGGACGCCGCAAACGAAUGGGAAUGAGAGGUGGCCUGUUCAUGAACUUUGCCUGUUUUGCGGAUGCAGUAUUUCUCUUGUGGGAUAUUUUAAGCGAGGAAUAAUGUGAUCGGAUCGAUGUUUAAGAAAGAAAACAAGGACAGUGUGAAGUAGGAUUGAUUGAAGGAGUAGCAAGCAGAGAUUACAGACUUCGAAGGCAGAGCUGAGAAAGAAAGCAUGAAAGAGACAGCAACAUCAACACAGCUCUCAGUUCUGGCGACGAUUGGAAGGAAAGAAAUAGAUGGAUGUAUGUAUGUAUCUAGGACAUUCACUUAAAGAUACACUCCAACAGUGGGGAAGAGGCACACACAUAAGCUCAACAGACCCACCAAAGACCAAUGGAAACCUUCUCAAGCUGCCCAGAACCCUCAUUCUCUGCUCUGCCAGAUCCUUCUUUUCCUGCUGUAGUGGCUCUUCUGGAUCCAGCCUGUGGUGUUGUCCAGCCAAAGGCCCGCCUCCUCUGGGUCUGGGGAUGGGGCAGUUACCCCUCCAAGAAAUGCCAGGCCAGCUGGUGACCCCCGUCAGCUCCACAACCUGGGAGCACUUGGCAGCAUCCUCAGGCUGCCUCCCACUGCUCACCUGCCCUGGCCUUCAACCCUCACCUUGGUUUCUGGUUCAGCAAACUCUUCUUCCAAAGCUAUUCUUGCAUCUCAGGGCCACAGUCUCCUCCUUAGUGCCCGAAAUUAGAUAGGGCUGCCGGACAUGAGACUACCAGACCCCACGGCUGGAAGAGAGAUGAAGAAACCCAUUGGCCAGCCUGCUCUUCAACUCAGAGGACCAGUGGGAGCCGUAAUUAAGAAAGGAAAACCGGCCUGGGGAUCAGGAGACAUGGGUGCUAGUGUUGUCCUACCCUCCAGUUGGCGCCGUGACAUCCUUUGCUCUCUGGAUCUCAUGUCCUCUGCUAUAAAAGAGGAGCCUAGAUGGGAUGCUUUAGUUUUUUUUUUUAAUUGAUUGAUUUAUUGGAGAGAGAGAGUGCGAGUGAGGGGGGACAGGACAGAGGGAGAGAAUCUUUCAAGCAGACUCCAUGCUGAGCACAGAGCCCGAUGUGGGGCUCAGUCCCACGUCCACAGAAUCAUGACCUGAGCCAAAACCAAGAGUUGGACACUUAACCGACUGAACCAGCCAGACGCCCCUAAAUGGGAUGCUUUAAGGGGUCUGCCCAACUCUACUUCUGUCUCUGAGCCUCCUGAGCUGCUGCCCAGGGAUCACGUGUCUCCGGAGAGAAAAAGGUAAUAGAAGGGACAUUCAUUGCAGCUUCUCAUUUCACUUUACUAAGUCUUCAUGAGGCCAAACGAUGAAAUAUGUCCACAGUUGGUGAGGGCACUAGAAGCUGGACGGGGAGAAAGUCUAAGUUUGGGGCCAAAGAAUGCAGGCGCUGCGAUCUGCCUCUGGUUCCAGCCUUGGGGCCAAAGACAUGGGCUGUGACCCCUUUCGAGUACCGUGCGACCUUUAAAACAGCCGAGACCUUGGAUUUCCGGCCUGCAGGCUCGAGGUGGGACAGUUGUGAAGUGUGGUCUGCGGCCUGCAGCUCUCCGUGGGGCUGCCUGAGGCCUGCUGGGCUGCUUCCUGCCCUUCAGAUGCUCCCUGGCUCAUUUUGCUUCCGUCACUUCUCUCAGCUGCUGAGCCAAAGAGGCCAGGAGGGCUCCCCACUACUUCUUGUGCCCGAGUCUCUGUCUCGGGAACUCGAGCUCUGGGAGCAUGAUGCAUGGCCUGCAGGGUCCUUCACCCUCGGGCCCCUGCCAGUCUUUCCAGUCUUGCUUCCGUCCAGUGCCGCCUUGCCCGCCACCCUUCGGCCUCACCAGACUCUCAGCUUCCCAAACACCAAGCGCCCUCUUGAGCUCUGUGCGACUCUGUGCGUGACGUUUCCGCACAGUUUGCUCAACACACCUUUGUCAUGCUGUGUCAACCUCGGUCCCUGUCAGGAAAGAGAGGGCAUACUCGAAAUGGGGAACUGAGGAGAGCUGAGGGAAGGGGCUGUCAAAGUGAUGAAGGCAGGGCGAUGGGCAACCGGCAAAGCAGCCAAGACACCUCACAGUGGGAAGCUUUGAGGCGUGAUGGGUAAAGGGAGCAGCGGUUCGAGCUCUGGCUGCUUGGGGCCCUGGGCCGGCUCAGUGGGGCGGGGGCGGGGGCACCCCGCUCUUGAUCUCCAGGUCGUAAGUUCAAGCCCCACUCUGAGGGUAGAGAUUCCUUAAAAAAAAAAAUCUUUAAAAAAAAAAAAACGAGCUGUAGUUGUAGGAGAGCCAUCAGACAGGAGGUAUAUCUUUCAGGGGGAAAGCAACCAUUUCUGAAGGUGAACUAGGGUGAAAAAUUCCUCAGCCUUUCUCCCGCCACCCUCCAAACUCCAAGUGCAGUGGAACCCCACUGGAAGCGCAGAGCAAAGAUGGGGUCCACAGAGGCCAGGGAGCUGAGUAGAGAGGGGAAAGAGUGGGUGUGGAGGGGCAAAGAGAGCACGUGGUCACUGCUGUGUGCCACAAGCCAAGCAAAACAAUAGCGUUUGCUGUCAUGCCAUUUCCAAGUCUCAAAGAGGACACUGGACUUGCAUAGUGAAUCACAAAAAAGUAAUGAAAAUACCCAUUACUUUCAAGAACACAUAAAACACUUAUAAAAAUUUACCAGGAGCUAACCCACAGAACAAGUUCCAAUAAAUUUUUUCAAAACUGGCA